GGUCGAGUCGGAAAUCUCGGACUCUCGGGAGGAUUCCACACCCUUCAGAAGGAACUGCGGAGCGACGUGUCGAAAGGCCUUCCUUGGCCUGGGGUUUGGGUUCCCUUUAGAUAGACGGAAACUGGCCAAGGUCGCUCCCAAAGGCCUCUAAAACCCUGCUCGACUGUUCUUCCCGCAGCGAGGCGAAGCAAAUGGCCACCGCGGUGGUUCUUCGAGCCCUGCGCCGGCGAGAUCUUUCCAGAUCUCUGUCUGGCCAUGCAAAAACAUGGGUUGGUUUCCAUCCAGGUUAUAAGUGGGCAAGUUUGGCCAGGCCAUUUAGCUCAAAACCAGCUGGAAAUGAUGUAAUUGGAAUUGAUUUAGGAACUACAAAUUCAUGUGUGGCUGUUAUGGAGGGAAAGAAUCCUAAGGUAAUAGAGAAUUCUGAAGGGUCAAGGACCACACCUUCUGUGGUUGCUUUUAAUCAGAAGGGAGAGCUACUUGUUGGAACUCCAGCAAAACGUCAAGCAGUGACCAACCCAACAAACACGAUCUUUGGGACCAAGCGACUGAUAGGACGCCGCUUUGAUGAUCCUCAGACACAGAAGGAGAUGAAGAUGGUUCCUUACAAGAUAGUCCGAGCUCCCAAUGGGGAUGCAUGGGUUGAAGCAAAUGGGCAGCAGUAUUCUCCCAGCCAGAUUGGUGCAUUUGUUCUGACUAAGAUGAAGGAAACUGCUGAAUCUUAUCUUGGGAAAUCUGUUUCUAAGGCAGUGAUUACUGUUCCGGCAUAUUUCAACGAUGCUCAGCGACAGGCUACAAAAGAUGCGGGAAGAAUUGCUGGCCUUGAUGUACAGAGAAUCAUUAAUGAACCCACUGCUGCAGCAUUAUCUUAUGGAAUGAAUAACAAAGAGGGCCUGAUAGCAGUUUUUGAUCUUGGAGGAGGAACAUUUGAUAUCUCAAUCUUAGAAAUAUCAAAUGGUGUAUUUGAGGUCAAAGCAACAAAUGGUGACACUUUCUUGGGUGGAGAGGACUUUGACAAUGCUUUGUUAGAUUUCUUAGUAAGCGAAUUUAAAAGAACUGAGGCAAUAGAUCUCUCAAAGGACAGGCUGGCUCUACAGAGGCUUCGAGAGGCAGCUGAGAAGGCCAAGAUUGAACUUUCAUCAACAUCUCAGACUGAGAUCAACCUUCCAUUUAUAACAGCUGAUGCAUCAGGAGCAAAGCAUAUGAAUAUCACGCUGACAAGAUCAAAGUUUGAAGUACUGGUGAAUCACCUGAUUGAGAGGACAAAAGAACCAUGCAAGAACUGUUUGAAGGAUGCUGGCAUAUCCACAAAGGAAGUUGAUGAGGUUCUUCUGGUAGGUGGGAUGACCAGGGUUCCUAAAAUUCAAGAAAUAGUUGCUGAAAUUUUUGGGAAGAACCCAAGCAAGGGAGUAAAUCCGGAUGAAGCUGUUGCAAUGGGUGCUGCCAUUCAGGGUGGCAUCCUCCGUGGAGAUGUUAAGGAGCUUCUUCUCUUAGAUGUUACUCCCUUGUCUCUUGGAAUUGAGACUCUUGGUGGUAUCUUUACCAGAUUGAUCAACAGGAACACAACCAUUCCUACAAAGAAAAGUCAGGUGUUUUCCACCGCCGCUGACAACCAGACGCAAGUGGGUAUACGUGUGCUUCAAGGAGAGCGUGAAAUGGCUGCAGACAACAAGCUCCUGGGCGAGUUUGAACUUGUGGGCAUCCCACCAGCUCCCAGAGGCAUGCCUCAGAUUGAGGUCACAUUUGAUAUUGAUGCCAAUGGAAUUGUGACAGUCUCUGCUAAAGACAAGGCAACUGGAAAGGAGCAGCAGAUUACCAUUCGGUCUUCUGGUGGGCUUUCAGAGGAGGAGAUCCAGAAAAUGGUCAAGGAAGCUGAGCUUCAUGCACAGAAAGACCAGGAGAGAAAAGCUUUGAUUGAUAUCAGGAACACUGCUGAUACUACAAUUUAUAGCAUUGAGAAAAGCUUGAGCGAGUAUAGGGAUAAGAUUCCAGCUGAGGUUGCUUCAGAGAUAGAGUCUGCAGUAGCAGACUUGCGCAAGGAGAUCGCAGGUGAUAAUAUUGACGCAAUAAAGGCAAAACUUGAUGCUGCAAAUAAGGUUGUUUCGAAGAUUGGGCAGCACAUGGCUGGAGGCUCCAGUGGGUCGGGUUCGAGUGGAUCUCAGGGUGGUGGUCAGGCACCAGAGGCAGAUUAUGAGGAGGUGAAGAAGUGAAGCGUGAAAGAGCAAGGCAAAAGCAACAGAAGCAAGGUGAUUCAAGGAUUUGUUGAUGCUAUUUUCUGCUGACUGAUAACUCUUUGCACAGUACUGUGUUUUGUUAAAGGGAAAUUGAGGAAUAUCUACGUCUCAGGAGAUUAUUGUUUUCCCUCCCUGCAGUAUUGGCAUAAUGUGUCCAUGCAAUGCAGCAUCAUUGAGAGCUAGGACAUAGAAAUGGAGUUUCUAUACCAUUUUGUUGUCUAACAAGCAGACUAAACUGCUGUAAACAGAGUUUUUUCUUAUACUGUUUAGCAGUUUUGUUGAAAAAAUCCUGCCGCAGUGAAUUGUUGAAUUUAGUCCAGCAUUGCUGUUGAAAAAGAAUGAUGCGGGCAAAGUUCUUGCUUGAUAUCACGAGUGGGGGAGUAUGGCGUGCUCGGAGUCAGAAAAAAUGAUUCGUUUUCUAUGGUUUUCUGGUGCAAUUAAUUUUACUUGUUUCCCUGCAAUAUUUUCCAAUGUCAUGUUGUUACAUUGCAAUUUGGCCUGUUGGAAGUAAGGCUGAAAUCCAAUCAGAUAUCGGAUAUUAGAAUA